UCCUGGGGUAGCUCAAUUGGUAGAGCAAUGAGACUCAUAAUCUCAGGGUUGCAGGUUCAAGCCCUGUGUUGGGCA